AGUCGAGGGGUAGAGGCUUUCGGGCCUUGAGACCGGCGCACGGGUGCGUAACGCGUAUGCAAUCUGCCUUGUACAAAGGGAUAGCCCAGAGAAAUUUGGAUUAAUACCUUAUAGUAUGUUGAUGUGGCAUCACAUUAUCAUUAAAGAUUUAUCGGUACAAGAUGAGCAUGCGUCCCAUUAGCUAGUUGGUGUGGUAACGGCACACCAAGGCAAUGAUGGGUAGGGGUCCUGAGAGGGAGAUCCCCCACACUGGUACUGAGACACGGACCAGACUCCUACGGGAGGCAGCAGUGAGGAAUAUUGGACAAUGGGCGCAAGCCUGAUCCAGCCAUGCCGCGUGCAGGAUGAAGCAUCUAUGGUGUGUAAACUGCUUUUAUACGGGAAGAAACCCUGGCUCGUGAGCCAGAUUGACGGUACCGUAGGAAUAAGGAUCGGCUAACUCCGUGCCAGCAGCCGCGGUAAUACGGAGGAUCCAAGCGUUAUCCGGAAUCAUUGGGUUUAAAGGGUCCGUAGGCGGUUUUAUAAGUCAGUGGUGAAAUCCGGUAGCUCAACUAUCGAACGGCCAUUGAUACUGUAGAACUUGAAUUAUUGUGAAGUAACUAGAAUAUGUAGUGUAGCGGUGAAAUGCUUAGAUAUUACAUGGAAUACCAAUUGCGAAGGCAGGUUACUAACAAUACAUUGACGCUG
rnacentral:rRNA from 1 species